rnacentral:rRNA from 1 species
GAUGAACGCUGGCGGCGUGCCUAAUACAUGCCAGUCGAGCGAACAGACGAGGAGCUUGCUCCUCUGACGUUAGCGGCGGACGGGUGAGUAACACGUGGAUAACCUACCUAUAAGACUGGGAUAACUUCGGGAAACCGGAGCUAAUACCGGAUAAUAUAUUGAACCGCAUGGUUCAAUAGUGAAAGACGGUUUUGCUGUCACUUAUAGAUGGAUCCGCGCCGCAUUAGCUAGUUGGUAAGGUAACGGCUUACCAAGGCAACGAUGCGUAGCCGACCUGAGAGGGUGAUCGGCCACCAUGGAAAUGAGACACGGUCCAGACUCCUAAGGGAGGCAGCCGUAGGGAAUCUUCCGCAAUGGGCGAAAGCCUGACGGAGCAACGCCGCGUUGGUGAUGAAGGUCUUCGGAUCGUAAAACUCUGUUAUUAGGGAAGAACAAAUGUGUAAGUAACUAUGCACGUCUUGACGGUACCUAAUCAGAAAGCCACGGCUAACUACGUG